GAAGGCAGCUCUCACGUGACGUCUUCAAAAGUGGGAGCAUGCUCUUGCUCAAGAACACCGUUGGCUUCAAAAGUGGGGGAGUAGGCUGAGCUGCCAACAUCAAUCUGUAAAACCCAUUCAAGAACGCAGUACUCAGCUCUCAUUCUCAAGGAUCUCGACGUCUUUCUCUCCCUAAAAGUUUCCCCACAGAGAUUAAACUAUAUGAAUGAGGCCUACAUAACUUCUUGGGCAGCCAUAGUGGAUCCACCAAAAAUGGAUGAAAGCCCAAAAGCGAUCAGUAGCAGCUUUUCAAGACUUGUAUGAGGAACUGAAUCACCCACCACAGUUGGAGAAGUAGAGAUCAGAUGUUGGGGAUCCAUGUGAUGAAUCAUGGAAGGGAGUCAUGUUUUAGGUGAAUUAUCAUUUUCAUGUAAUGCAACAUAGGUCCUCUUUAACUAUGUGCACAAUUUGGAUGAUACGUGAUGGACAUCUUGGAGGCCAGCUCCAUAAUCUCUAUAAUUUGAAGCAACUAUAUGAGUUAUAUCGAUUUAGAUUUAGGUUUAUGUAAAAUUAUGUGAGUUUUAUUCACUAAUUGUUUUUUCAAUUUAUGCUUUCUAUUAGGGAUGUAAGCUCCAAUGACAGUCAGGGUGAAAUUCCUUACAGGUUACCCCUAGUGCCACUGAUAUAUGAGAUGCUUGAUUAUUAGUUUCUAUUAGCAUUCUUAAUGAUUUAUUUAAUUUUAUCUAUGGUUUCAUUUUCUAUAAAUGCAGAAAUUUGGCAUGCUAGAAAUUGAGUCAAAAUACUUCUUAGUCUCACACUUUAAUGAAAAAUCUUCAAUUGUUUGUCCUGGUAUUGCCUAUUUGACUGGUUACUAUAGUUGGUUUAGUUUAAUGAUUCAAAAAUGGAAAUUUCAUUCUUCCAGGGAUUUGAGCCUCAAUUCAUUAUUUGAACUCAUUGGCAACGUGUUUGCGGGCUUACAAAAACUAAAAGAAAUGUAUAAUUACCAGCCUGUAUGACUUGAAAGGAAGCAAGACAGUUAUACUAUUGGUAUUACAUGGUGGUAGUGGUUUUUUUUUUUGAAGCUUAUGACACAAUGAUAAGCCCUCUUUGUAUUGAUGUUGUGUGUGUUAAUGUUCUAUCAUUGGAGUGGAAACUAGUUGGCAGUUGCAUGAAUUAUUUUAUACUCAUUUAGAAAUCAUAAUGUUUAUAUAUUAUCUAGCCUCUUCUGUUGGUAUCUUCUAUCAGCCAAAUUUCUAAGCCUUGAAAAUCAUAUUUGGAUCUGUUGUCAUAGGGAUCUAUCAUCAAGCUACUUUACUGAGUCUAUAUAUGAUCUUCUCGUCUGAUCUCCCACUUGUAGGUUCCUUCAUAGCAGUCUUUCUCAUAACCCGUUUUAUGUGUUUUUCUGAUUAUAAGACACGUUUUUUCUUGCCAAGAACAUCCAAAGCAACCAUUUUAGUGGCAUUAUCCCUAGUUGGGACCACUUGUGGGACACGUGGCAGUAGACCCUCCAUUCUGUUGGUAGAUUUCAGAGAAAGACAGAGAAAACCCAGAGAGCAGGAGGCUCCUUUGGCAGUGUGGGUGUUGGUUAGAGCAGAGAGAGCAGGUUGGGGGAACUGUUAGAGAGAGAGUGUGUGGGACAGUUGGAGAGGAGGAGAGAAACUAGCAGAGGGAUUUUUGUGAUCAUGACGGAAAAACCAGCAGAGGAAAUCCGGAGCAAAUAAAAACAAGCUGUGGGGGGUGGGUGUGUUUCUAAGGUUUUUGAGAGAGAACAGGGGAGAGGCUUGGAAAAAUGUUUUGAGAGCUGAAGUUGUGAGCAGGAGAGGGUGAAGUCUUGGUGGAGUUUUUCUAAGUGGUCUGAGAGAGGGAAUUUUAAAGAGAGUGACAGGGGUAUCCAUUUCAGAGGGGAAGCUACGGUUUUGUUGGUCCUAGAGGAAGAGAGAGCGUUGGAAGCUGAGCAAGCUUUGCUUGAGAGGCUCAGGUAUGCCCAUUAUGGAUUUCAUUCUCGUCAUCAUCUGUUUUUGCUGAUUUUGAGCAUUGUUUGCUGAUUGGGUGUGAAUAUUGGAUGUACGGACAUUGCUUGUUGCUUUCUAAGUUGUUGAUAGACUAGAUCUUUCCGUAUUCAUAUACUGCAUCUUUGGUUUUCUUUGAGAUUUAUCUUCAAUAUGAUUCAGCUUCACUGUGUAUGGUAUGAGAAUCAUGCUUCUGCCCCCUGUCUCUUUCACCUGCUUUUGGCCCUUUGAUUAAAACAUGAAAAUGGACCUCAUUCAAUAGUUUGCUUGCUUGCUUGGCUCCUCUUGGGUCUCACCUGUUUUCUGUUUGUGUUUUUCUCUCUCUGUUAAUGGAGGCCAUGGGGUCAGAAUUUAAAAUCCAUUGGGUUUGGGGAGAUUGCGAGAGAAGGGUGGGGUGAGUUUCAUUCACCACCUGAUGCUUUCAAAGUAGAUUGUGAAGGCAGUGAGGUCCGGGUUCAGACUGAGACUACCUUUGCUAGAGAUCUGUCAGAUGGAUAUCCCAAGUUUGUUAAAGCUGAAGGAGCUUUGGGAUUGUACAAAUGUCUUGUUCCUUUUUGGGGAUGUCAGAUUCCAUAUGCAUUGAUCAAAUUUGCUUCUUUUGGGAUCAUUAUUGAGUACAAGGAUGCCAUUCCUACUCUGAAGGAUCAGUGCAAUAGAAGUCUGCAGCUUGGUGUAAGCUUUGCUGAUAGAUAUGGCUGGUGUUUUCUGCUCUAUUGUUUCUCAUUCAGCUGAUAAUCUUGUGUCCUUCCUCAACAAUCCUAAGGGAGUUGUGUCAUCCCUUCAGCUUUGACUGUGCUAGUGCUAUGACUGAGCAACUCCAGACAGCAAGGUGGGUACAAAGAAGGUUAAAAAAUGCUGUGGAAACUGUUCAGAGGAUUAAGAGAAUGGAGCUAAGCAAAAUACUUCCUUAAGGGGAAAUUCAGACUUCUUAAACCAAUGAACGUGCCUAUUUGGACUGCCAAUCCAUUUAUUAUUAUUUUUUUAUUCUCUCCACUCCCUACAUCUUCUCUGAAACCUUAUAAACCCUAACUCUCUCAACCAAAGGGGUUUUCAGAGCUCAAUCUUCUCCAUUAAUGGAUGAACUGGAACAACUAGAAACUCACUCUUGUCACAAGGAAGCCAUGCUUUGGCCUCCCAGCAACUUGCCCUUCUUGCUUGCCCGUUUACAUCUACCUCAGAUUCGCCCAAGUUCCCUUUGAUCUGAGUUUCAAUUUCAUUCAUCCUGAUUCUGAUCAGAUUCCUUGCAUUGAGUCUGGUGCUUAUGCGGCCUAUAACAAUAAGAAGAGUGGCAAACUUCUGAAGGGUAUUCUGCAUAUUUAUCUAAGUGGCCUGUGGAUCAGAAGUUGCAUUCAGAUUUAGCAUAUGGUCUCUCAAGUAAGUUUGACAUACAGGAAGCCGAUUGUGUGGAUUUACUGAAUUCUUUGGAGCCUGGACAUGCAUAUCCUGACGGGCAGAAAGGUCAUCCUUUGCGAAAUGGAUUUCAAAUACAGCUUUUAAAUUUGGAACAUGGAUUCUAUCAGAAAUCAGAUGCAGAAAGAAUAUCCUUGAUAGGACCUAGUUCAGGACACUCCCUCCAAUCACUCGGCUGUGACAUGUGAAUGAUAAAUGCCCUGAAGACACCAUACCCAUCAGAAGAACAAAGCAGGAUAAUAUUUGUAGUGUAUGUUCAGUGAAAAGAUAUGGAAGGAAGAGGCACGAGAUCAUUUCCUGCCAAGGUCUGCAGAUCCAGACCUCAAUCAAUGAGAGUGGCCAUCAGCAUGGAGUUGUUUAUGUUGAAGGAGAUAAAAACUAUGGAGUUAAAGCCACCAUUAAUGUUUGGGAACCCAAAAUACAACAGCCAAAUGAGUUCAGUCUGUCUCAGCUUUGGAUAUUGAGAGACUCCUUUGGUGAAGACCUUAACAGCAUUGAAGCUGAUUGGCAGGUCAGUUCAGAUCUACAUGGUCACAACAAUACAAGGCUAUUCACUCAUUGGACUAGUGAUGCAUGUCUGGCCACAACAUGCUACAGUCUUCUCUGCUCGGGCUUUAUUCCAAUCGACAGUGAAGUAGCAAUGGGCAAGAUGGUACUUCUAUGAUGAAAGUUGAGGUAAAGGUGCAGGCUCCAAAGCUCCGCCAUAUGCAUCUCAACUGUUUUGAAGCUGGUAUACCCCAGAAUGGUUAGACUCGUGAGCAUACUUUGCUUGCCUUCACCCUUGGUGUCAAGGAAAUAAUAGGUUGUUGCAAUGAGAUGUAUGCAACAACACCAAAGUAUUCUAAAGCCAAGAUGUUUACAAGAUUGGUGGUAUUGGCACUGUUCAUGUUGGUUGUGUUGAAACAGGCAUCCUUAAACUUGGUAUGAUUGUCACCUUUAGACCAAAUGGAGCGCUACUGUGAAGCCCUUGUCCAGGAGCCUGAGGAAAACCAGAAGCAGAUGCUGGAAGAAUUGCAGAAUCUUAGAAUUGAGCACUCUACUUGCGUGUACGCAAUUUCAUCCACGAAGGCCCAAAUGGAGACAAUGAAUCAAGACAUGAAUGAGCAGAUCUUAAGAUUUGCUGAGGAUGGACAUGACUUGGAUUCCCUUAAUCAGGAGCUUGAAAUAAGGGCUAUUACCUCUGAAGCAACACUUAAAAAGGCACACAGUCACUCAUUAUUAAGGAUGAGUGCUGCUUGUGCCACUUGGCCAUUGGUGGUAUGCAGAGAGUUGCUGUUACUGCUAAAACUCCUCUUAGAAUUAAAUCUAAAGAAGUUUCUGAGAUAAACUAUAAUACAUCUAUGCAAGAUAGGGGAAAUUCUACACCUACCUCAAGUACUGCUGAUGGUCAGAAAAACGCCAAGUCAAAGGAAGGGCCAGACUGGAAUCCAGACUUAAAAUUCAGGAGUAUAGGCAACCUACUAGGUUGUCCCUGCAGGCUUUAACCACCCCAACUGCGCUGUAUCAACACUGAGAAGCCUAUGGAGAUUGAUCAUCACUUGUAUGAAUUUGGGUUGGUGGAAUACCAUGUCCAGCUUUGCUACUGACGCUUUUUAGGAUAGUACAACUUCUGAAGCUCACAGCGUCCUGAACUUGGCGCAGGGGUUGCUCCACCUCGGCAUCUGUUCCGGAGAUGUCCUCGCCAUUUCUGUUCUCAACAGGUGCAUCCUGCUAACCUACACCUUUGGUGGUGGUGAUCAUGUACUGUGGGGGCUCUUUUUAGAGCCCAAGUUAGCAGGACCACUACAAGAAUAAUUGGAAAAUGGGGAUUCAGCACCAAGCCUAAGGCAAAUGAGGAUUCAGAACCAACCGAAGGUUACCGGUUAUCUCUUGUCUCACGCUCAUCAUUCAUAUUCUGCAUUUAUUUUUUAUUAUUUUGAAUUCUUGAAUUUUCUUUUUAAGAGAUAUUCAUCGGAGAUGAGAGAAUUUUCUAGCUCUGUUUUCCUCCUAUGGUCACAACUACUUAGAGAAAAUUCAUUGUUUAAUGAUUAUAACAAAUUGGGCCAAAUUGUAUAUUUUUAAUUUUAUACAUUUUGUUAUAAAUGUUGUUGCUUGAUUUAUUCCAAAUUUAAAACUGAAAAUAAGAAAUUAGCCGAACUUCCUGAUUUUCUUUAAUUUCCUCCUCCCCCCCCAAAGAAAAGCUCCAAUUUUAGCUUCAUGUAUAAGAGAAAUUAUUAAAAUCAUGAGCCUUUUCCCAUAUCAUAAGUAAGGAUUGCAUUUCUUUUCUUGUUGAUGCUACCUGCUACUAGCUCUUUUGACAAUCCAUGAAAUAGAGCUAGGUUCAUACUCUGUUUCUGUGUUUUUCCUCCUCUGUUUAUUGCUCUAUUUCUUGUUGAUGGUGGGGUGAUGUCAUCAAUGGCCAAGUUGCUGGGAUUGGAGAAGUGAGGUUGUGGAGGGAAAUUAACUCAAUGGAGGAUUUCUGUGAUUGUAUCUGUGCUUCAAUCUAUUGGUUCAAAAUGGUGGCCACGGAAUUGCAUUGGAGUUUUGUGUUCGGGUUUGCUUUGCCAUCUGGGUCUGAUAAGAUAUAUACUGGUAGUGAAGAUGAGAAUGAGGAUUUGAGACAUCUCCUCUUUUCCUAGAAGUCUUAGUGACUGCAGAAAUGGGUACUAUGUUCCCUGAGAAUGGCAGAUGAAGGUGAUCUUGUCCCAUUUGGACCUGGAAACUGUAAAUUUUGUAACCUUCAGGGAAGACUAGGGGAAGCUCCUAGAUCUGGUCUCUAGGAUGCUGUGUAUGUGAAAUGACUGCUCACAAACCUGCAUUUAAAGCCUUCGAUAUGCAAGCUUUGAUAAGCAAAAUGAACAAGUCUAUAGUGGCUCCAUUUCCAACCAUGUAUGCUGGUGCAUUCUUCUUGGCCCAGAGUGGGAAUGUGUCUACUUUCCUCAAGAUCCCAGCAUUAUAACUCCUGAAAGUGUGC